AGAGUUUGAUCAUGGCUCAGAACGAACGCUGGCGGCAGGCUUCACACAUGCAAGUCGCGCGAUUAAAGCCCCUUCGGGGGUGUAUAGAGCGGCGAACGGGUGCGUAACAGGUGGAUAAUCUACCCCCCGGCGGGGGAUAACGGCUGGAAACGGCCGCUAAUACCGCGUACGGUUGCGAGGAUCUCGGUCCUUGCAAAGAAAGGCGCUUCACGGCGUCGCCGGAGGAUGAGUCCGCCUCCCAUUAGCUAGUUGGUGAGAUAACAGCCCACCAAGGCAACGAUGGGUAGCCGAGCUGAGAGGUUGAUCGGCCACACUGGAACUGAGACACGGUCCAGACACCUACGGGUGGCAGCAGUGGGGAAUAUUGGACAAUGGGCGCAAGCCUGAUCCAGCCAUGCCGCGUGGGGGAUGAAGGCCUUCGGGUCGUAAACCCCUUUUCUGAGAGAAGAACAGCCUGCGUAGGAAAUGACGUGGGUUUGACGGUAUCUCAGGAAUAAGCAACGGCCAACUCCGUGCCAGCAGCCGCGGUAAUACGGAGGUUGCAAGCGUUGUUCGGAAUUACUGGGCGUAAAGGGAGCGCAGGCGGUCGGGUAAGUCUGAAGUGGAAGCCCGGGGCUCAACCCCGGAAGUGCUUUGGAUACUGCCUGACUUGAGUACGCGAGAGGAAAGCGGAAUUCCAGGUGUAGCGGUGAAAUGCGUAGAUAUCUGGAGGAACACCGGUGGCGAAAGCGGCUUUCUGGCGCGUUACUGACGCUGAGGCUCGAAAGCGUGGGGAGCAAACGGGAUUAGAUACCCCGGUAGUCCACGCCGUAAACGUUGUGCACUAGGUGUGGGAGGUAUCGACCCCUUUCCGUGCCGCAGCUAACGCAUUAGUGCACGCCUGGGGAGUACGUCGCAGACUGAAACUCAAAGGAAUUGACGG
rnacentral:rRNA from 1 species